rnacentral:rRNA from 1 species
GCAAUCUACCUUUCACAGAGGGAUAGCCCAGAGAAAUUUGGAUUAAUACCUCAUAGUAUUAUUGAGUGGCAUCACUUAAUAAUUAAAGUCACAACGGUGAAAGAUGAGCAUGCGUCCCAUUAGCUAGUUGGUAAGGUAACGGCUUACCAAGGCAACGAUGGGUAGGGGUCCUGAGAGGGAGAUCC